GACGUAGGGCGCGAGCGUUGUCCGGAUUCAUUGGGCGUAAAGGGCUCGUAGGCGGCCAACUAAGUCAGACGUGAAAUCCCUCGGCUUAACCGGGGAACUGCGUCUGAUACUGGAUGGCUAGAGAUUGGGAGAGGGAUGCGGAAUUCCAGGUGUAGCGGUGAAAUGCGUAGAUAUCUGGAGGAACACCGGUGGCGAAGGCGGCAUCCUGGACCAACACUGACGCUGAGGAGCGAAAGCCAGGGGAGCAAACGGG
rnacentral:rRNA from 1 species